UACCAGCACCCCGAGUGGUCGGGACGAUUAUUGGGCCUAAAGCAUCCGUAGCCGGUUCUGCAAGUCCCCCGUUAAAUCCAGCUGCUCAACAGAUGGGCCGCGGAGGAUACUACAGAGCUAGGAGGCAGGAGAGGCAAGCGGUACUCAGUGGGUAGGGGUAAAAUCCGUUGAUCCAUUGAAGACCACCAGUGGCGAAGGCGGCUUGCCAGAAUGCGCUCGACGGUGAGGGAUGAAAGCUGGGGGAGACAACCGG
rnacentral:rRNA from 1 species